UAGCCCAAAAGUGACUCAAAUGAAAGUGUGAUCUAUCAAAUACUCAGGAAAGCAAGGAGAACCUACUACUGACGAUAUGAGGAGCAAAUCCUUGCCUUCACUACUCUCCGGCUGGGCUGCCCAUCUGCCAAACUUCAUCAGAAGCCCGAGGUCAAGGAAGCCAUUUGUUUUACUACAGGAAGCAAUGCAUCUACCAGUCCUUCCUCAAAUGGUGGGUGUUUUCUUCUGAGUUGCUGGACUAAGUAGGUAUGCAGUAUUCUUUUUCGCUUCACUACACAUCAUCACCACC